rnacentral:rRNA from 1 species
AAAUGCCCUGCUUCCAGGAAAAGCCUCUAAGCAUCAGGUAACAUCAAAUCGUACCCCAAACCGACACAGGUGGUCAGGUAGAGAAUACCAAGGCGCUUGAGAGAACUCGGGUGAAGGAACUAGGCAAAAUGGUGCCGUAACUUCGGGAGAAGGCACGCUGAUAUGUAGGUGAAGCGACUUGCUCGUGGAGCUGAAAUCAGUCGAAGAUACCAGCUGGCUGCAACUGUUUAUUAAAAACACAGCACUGUGCAAACACGAAAGUGGACGUAUACGGUGUGACGCCUGCCCGGUGCCGGAAGGUUAAUUGAUGGGGUUAGCGGCAACGCGAAGCUCUUGAUCGAAGCCCCGGUAAACGGCGGCCGUAACUAUAACGGUCCUAAGGUAGCGAAAUUCCUUGUCGGGUAAGUUCCGACCUGCACGAAUGGCGUAAUGAUGGCCAGGCUGUCUCCACCCGAGACUCAGUGAAAUUGAACUCGCUGUGAAGAUGCAGUGUACCCGCGGCAAGACGGAAAGACCCCGUGAACCUUUACUAUAGCUUGACACUGAACAUUGAGCCUUGAUGUGUAGGAUAGGUGGGAGGCUUUGAAGUGUGGACGCCAGUCUGCAUGGAGCCGACCUUGAAAUACCACCCUUUAAUGUUUGAUGUUCUAACGUUGGCCCGUAAUCCGGGUUGCGGACAGUGUCUGGUGGGUAGUUUGACUGGGGCGGUCUCCUCCUAAAGAGUAACGGAGGAGCACGAAGGUUGGCUAAUCCUGGUCGGACAUCAGGAGGUUAGUGCAAUGGCAUAAGCCAGCUUGACUGCGAGCGUGACGGCGCGAGCAGGUGCGAAAGCAGGUCAUAGUGAUCCGGUGGUUCUGAAUGGAAGGGCCAUCGCUCAACGGAUAAAAGGUACUCCGGGGAUAACAGGCUGAUACCGCCCAAGAGUUCAUAUCGACGGCGGUGUUUGGCACCUCGAUGUCGGCUCAUCACAUCCUGGGGCUGAAGUAGGUCCCAAGGGUAUGGCUGUUCGCCAUUUAAAGUGGUACGCGAGCUGGGUUUAGAACGUCGUGAGACAGUUCGGUCCCUAUCUGCCGUGGGCGCUGGAGAACUGAGGGGGGCUGCUCCUAGUACGAGAGGACCGGAGUGGACGCAUCACUGGUGUUCGGGUUGUCAUGCCAAUGGCACUGCCCGGUAGCUAAAUGCGGAAGAGAUAAGUGCUGAAAGCAUCUAAGCACGAAACUUGCCCCGAGAUGAGUUCUCCCUGAGACUUAGAGUCUCCUGAAGGAACGUUGAAGACGACGACGUUGAUAGGCCGGGUGUGUAAGCGCAGCGAUGCGUUGAGCUAACCGGUACUAAUGAACCGUGAGGCUUAACCUUACAACGCCGAAG